rnacentral:lncRNA from 1 species
GUAGCUUAUAUACCACUACCAGUAACACAUCACAUUGAAAGUAUUUAUCACAUGAACACCAAACAUCAUUCAAAAUUAAAAUAGACUUAUUUCUAAGAAAAACAGAACCACAUGAGUCUUAGGCAGCAACAGUGGCAGUUUCAGAAGGUUUGUUCUCAGGCUCAAUAGAGACAACUGUGGCAGUUUCAGAAGGUUUGUUAUCAGGCUCAACAGGGUCAAUAGUUACAGCUUCUGAAGGCUUGUUUUCAGGUUCAGCCUCAGUUGCAGUUUCUGUGGGAUUGUUUUCAGGUUCUACCCAGAAUUCAGUUUUCUUUCCAGUUUUGGAAACAGUGUCAAAAACAUCUUGUGGCUUUACAUUUCCUUUCACAGUCACUUUUUGUUCCUUCAUAUCAAUGUCAAAUGAUUCUACACCUGUGAAGAACAAAUGUGUUAUUUUGAUACAAUAUUCAUAGAGGAUGUUUGGUUGGUAUAUGUCCAUCCCCUUGGUUAUGUCACAUAACACUAAUUCAAAUUCAAAUUGAAAGGUUUUGAAAAUUAUUUAAACAGUUUGAAAUGAAAUAACCAUGCUAUAGAUGUUGAAAUAGAAAUAAGUAAACAUAUGGACAGCAUAUCUUGAUUAACCUUUCAAAAAAAAAAACAUAUCUUGAUUAAUAAAAUUUAUGGGAAAAAAUAUAGAGAUAUUACAUUGUCACAAUUAUUAAUUCAACAUGAUAACAAAGAUUAUUUAUUUGCUCUAGGAAUUAAAAAUACCUUCCAUUUUUUCCAAGACCCUAUUGACUGCUCCUGAACAGCCUGAGCAUGACAUUUUUACUUUGAGGACAACGGUCUGCAAUGAUCACAAUGGAAAAAUUUCAAAUUCAUAGUAAAUAGCAUUUUUUUUUAUAAAGGUUAAGCACAUUCAUAAAUUGAAUUCAAUUUAAAAAAGGAAAAUAAUUUGAAGAUGGUGAUAAUAAGAACAAGGCCGUUCUCGUGAGUUUAACUCAGUUGAUAGAGACAAUGCAUAAUAUAUGCAAGAAUCAACAUUUGAGCCCCGGACACCUCACUUAUUCAUCUUAUAAAUGUGAAUUUCUAGCCACUAAACUACUUGACAAAAAAUAUAAGAACAAAGCAGGGCAUAAAAAAAGUAGGAAUAUCUGACAGAAUAGUCAUGUGUGGAUCCUUAGGAUAACUUGAUAAAGCAGAUUAAUCAAAAAAUGUAUUGCUAUCAAAAAAACAAAAUCAAACUAAUAACAACACAAAUUUAGGAAAAAACUGGAGGCCUACAUAUAUAAUCUAAAAGUAAAUCUAAAGAUUUGUAACAAACAAGGAAGAAAUAAUCAUUCUUUGCUUUAUUAGUGUUAGAAUUGAACUUCUACUUCGUAAUUUGUUGACAUGCAAUAACAAUGAAAUUUGUAUCAUGCAAUCAUCUUGUAUGUGAGUGCAUAUCAUCAAAAGGAAGAAAAAAAAUUGAUCAAUCUUCUCUACUUUCAUCAGAACCAAAUUUUCUAAUAUAAUUAUAAAACAAAAUACAAAAAAUUACAAAGGAUCCAUGAUAUCUCAAUUCAAAAACUCAUCAACUUCAACACAAAACGUCUAAAGCAAGGAACUAGAUCAAAGAAAAAACAUAAAAUAAUAAAUCCAGAAUCACAAUGAUCAAGCUUAAGAAAAAUAGAAGAUCAACAACAACAUAGAAAAAGAAGUAUAAAG